UCACAUAAAAUCCAUUCAAGGUGUCUUAUUUCAUUCAAAAUGUCAAUUCCAUCAUUACAAUCCAUCACAAGUGUUCAUACAUUACAAAAAUUACACAACAAUUAUGUUGACCAAAUGUUAACUUUGGUCAAUAGUUGAAUUUUUGGUCAAGUUUGACCAAAGUCAAGUCAACCACUCUUCAUCCUAAAACCCUAAAUCCCCAUCCUAUUUCUAAUCUGAUAUUCAAUGUUUGACUCUUGAUCUUUUGUUGACCAUUCCAUGAUGGAUACUUUAAAUUACAACUUGGAUGCCAUGAUUUGUUGUCCAACCAUUGUCCACUUCAUAGCAUGCUUGAUUGAUGAACAUAAACCAAGCCAGUGAAUCAAGAUCAUAAUUUGAAAUGAGAUCAGAAAUGCAACAUAAUACAAAUAAAACAUGGCAUAUUCAUCAUUAUCAAUCAUUAGCAUUCAUUCCCAAUCAUUAGCAAUCAUUAGCAUUUACUAAAUCAUUAACAAGCAUUUAACCCUAACCAAUUCAUUAACUAUUAUGUGUUCACACUAACUUUACCACGUUCAUUAGCAAGUCUAUUUAAGUUUUACCAACAUUACAGACUUAACUCCAUUCUAAACUUCCAUUCAUCAUCACCAAAUCAAAACACCAUUGGCCUAUUUGCAUCGAUACUGCUAGCAGGGCACUUCUAAUUGAACUAAGACACAAACAAUUAGCUUUUACAUUACAGUUCCAACACAUUUGAGCUAACUAACAUCAUGCAUCCUUUUCAUAAUUCCUAUCAGUAUCCAAUUAAUAUAACAACUGGCCAAUUUCUCCAACACCUAGCUAUUCCAAACUUCAGAUUAAUAAAUAAGUUAAACUAAUAUUUUUUUGCAUUAUGCACAUUUUAAUGGGUUAUUCACUAUCUGUCAUUAAAGUGAAAAAUUUUACUAACUUAUGGCUAUUAUUCACAUUCACAUUACAAAUUUCAGUAGAAUAAUAUUACCAAUAGCCAUCACACAACCACUAACAGAAAAUCGAAACUAACAUUCAUUCACUAUGGAAUCAGUACAUGACAUACCUCACAACAAUCUGUAGAAAGCAUGAGCAUUGGAAGCCAUCGAGCCAGCCAUCCCGCAUCACUAAUUAAGCAUCACACCACGCAAAUGAAAAUCUUGCAGCAAGUGUACACAAC
rnacentral:lncRNA from 1 species